rnacentral:tRNA from 1 species
AGGGUUAUAGCUCUGUGGUAGAGCACUUGCCUAGCAUGUAUGAGGCCCAAGUUUCAAUCUCUUUGCAUCUCUU